CUGAAUGGCUUUCAGCUAGCACAUGGCUGUU
rnacentral:piRNA from 1 species